AAACUCAGAUCGGCAUUCGAAAUAUAAAGAGAGCGAAUACAGAUCUGAGUUUGAACUCAGACCUAGCUCUGACAUCGUUAUUCAAAACCCGACGGCCAAUACAGAUCUAAGUCGAACCCAGAGCCAGCUCUGACAUCGGCAUUCGAAAUAUAAAGGUAGCGAAUGCAGAUCUGGGUUUGAACUCAGACCUAGCUCUGACAUCGUUAUUCGAUAUCCGACGACCAAUACAGACCUAAGUCGAACUCAGAGCCAGCUCUGACAUCGGCAUUCGAAGUAUAAAGGUACCGAAUGCAGAUCUGGGUUUGAACUCAGACCUACCUCUGACAUCGUUAUUCAAAACCCGACGGCCAAUACAGACCUAAGUCGAACCCAGAGCCAGCUCUGACAUCGGCAUUCGAAAUAUAAAAAGAGCGAAUACAGAUCUGAGUUUGAACUCAGACCUAGCUCUGAGAUCGUUAUUCGAUAUCCGACGGCCAAUACAGAUCUAAGUCGAACCCAGAGCCAGCUCUGACAUCGGCAUUC
rnacentral:sRNA from 1 species